GGUAUCAUUUGGCUCACCUCAAGAUUUCCAUCAAGCUCGCUGGUUGCUCGGGACGUGACUUUGCAAGUGCUUUGCUGCUCCGCUAGCUCUGUUCAUCCAUAGGAGUGGAAGGUUCUACACCUGUGCUUAGAUUAGGUCUGUUUUCAAUCCAGAUUAUGACCUGAUUUGCCGCAAUUUUACAGAAUGGCUAGUCUUAGAAGCCAUUUGAUAUGCCUGGAAUAGCUAGGAACAAUGGACAAGGAACUCAAGGGACAGACUAGAUAAUGGUAUAGGUAUCCCUCAUGUUCGUGCCUGUUCUGUGAUUUUGCCCGGAACAGUAAACAGAGGAACAGGGAAACCACGGAACAGGUGAACCUCUCGCAGCUUGUGCUCUUCCUCUGCUACUGCUUCCCUCUCACUCCCUGUUUCUCUUCUCUUUCUUCCUUUUCUUCCCUCCCUCUUCCUCUCUGCUCGCCCUUUUGUCUCUCUCCUUACCACUGUUUCAUGCCUCUCCUCUCUCUCUUAUGACCGCUUUUUUUGCCACUAUUGUAAGAAGAAGAUUCAAUCGAUAUUGCAGGAUUGGGUUUGGUUAUUCCCCAGUCAAGCAUUGGAGUUGAAUCUUAGGUUUUCAAUCGGUGUUGCUUUUUUUUCCUUUGAAACGGUGCCGUUAAGUUCGCCCACCAACCAUCUACUCUGUUCAACGAUUUAGUGAAUUCCUCCCUUUUUCAUUUUAGAAACAUACUGAGAAAGUCUUCCUUACCAAUUGUUCCAAUAAAAAAAAAAAGAUAUUUAGGCUUUUCAGAACACUGGUGUUGGACUAAAAUGGUGGCUUUGUGGAUUUGUGCUCUAGCAUCUUUCAAAAGAACAAUAAUUCAAAAUGAAAUGAUCCAAUUAUUCAAAUCAAUUUUAACUUAUGCCAUGAAUUGAUUAGAGGGAUUUAUCUUGCUUUCUGUCCGAGCUCAUUUGCAACAGUUUCGAUCACCAAAAUGCAAAAGGAGAACUGAAGGAAAUCACUGUCAAGAAGCAAGAGGUCUUCAGGCAUUGAAAUUCUUUCUGGCGCUCUACUUGGUAGCUCUGGGAAGUGGAUGCUUGAAGCCAAAUAUGCUGUCUCAUAGAGCUGGAUAGGUACAGGAGGGAGAGAGGUGCAGAAGGUAAAGGCAAGAACUUGAAAAUGAUUCAGCUUAAAAGGUGUUGAAGUUCUUAGUUCUAGUUCGUUAAUGGCGAGGCUAAGUUCUCUCUUUUCAGUUUGCUUUCUUCUUCUAUUUUUUGGUGUUCUUUUGCUCAAGGAAAGUUCAAAGGGAGCAGAGGUGAUUCAGGUUUCAAGAAUUUCAGCACAAACUUUAUGAGUAUAACAACAACUUUUGUCAAGAGCAACGAGCCUUGCUUUUCUGUACUAUCCAUGGCGACCACCUCUUCCCUCGGACUCAAGUCAAGAAAAAGAGGGUGCCAUGUCUUUUCUGCAGGUUUCUUCACCUUCAGGCCUCUAGAGCAGCCUCACCUAUGUUACAAGAAGCAGACCAUUACUUCCACCAAAUCCACCAUCAACAGUAGGAAGCCAAGCUUUCCCUCUGCCGCCAUUGCUGAACUAGCCAUAUUUGCCCCCACCCCAGCCACACUCAUCAAGGCCAUCAUUGAAGUUCGAAGGACAAUGUAAAUAUGUAAUUUCAGGUGGCUUGACUACAUGUAGAAGAUGAGAAGAAGGAGCCUUGCUACUCUGUUCAGCAUCAAAGCUCUCUCUCUCUCUCACACACACAAAAUCAAUCAUUCUGGCCUGGGUAAAACAGAUGUUAAAUCUUUGGGGAAGAACAUGAAAUAUUUGGAUAGGGCAAUGCUAGGCUUGAUAUGCAAAGAGAUGAUUGACAUUGGAAGAUACUUGUGACUGCAGGACAAUGGACUAGAUGCACAACUUGAAGAACAGGUCUGGUCAUAGAGAUGAGCCCAGUGGGUGAGGUAUUGGAAAUUGAGGGGGCUGAUCACGUGGCAAUAUUCUCAAAGCUUCUUGACAUUUGCCAUCACCUCCUCCACAUUGUUGAAACCCAUUACUGUAGAAAAUAGGACAAAGGAAGAAGAAUGAAGCUUCCACUACUCUCAAAAUUAUUUUUGGUAUCGAAUCUUGUUUCCGAAUGGUUUCAUAUAAUGUUUGUGGAUUUCUUUAGUUCCUUUUAGGGAGAAAAUGGUCGAUUGCUUUUGAUGUAAUAUAUUUGAAGGUCGAUGUAUUAAACUUCAUAUGUAUUUUAGACAGAUUCAAAAUGGAUAUAUUAAUACCAUGUUGUUCUC